UGCAGUCGAGCGAACUGAUUAGAAGCUUGCUUCUAUGACGUUAGCGGCGGACGGGUGAGUAACACGUGGGCAACCUGCCUGUAAGACUGGGAUAACUUCGGGAAACCGAAGCUAAUACCGGAUAGGAUCUUCUCCUUCAUGGGAGAUGAUUGAAAGAUGGUUUCGGCUAUCACUUACAGAUGGGCCCGCGGUGCAUUAGCUAGUUGGUGAGGUAACGGCUCACCAAGGCAACGAUGCAUAGCCGACCUGAGAGGGUGAUCGGCCACACUGGGACUGAGACACGGCCCAGACUCCUACGGGAGGCAGCAGUAGGGAAUCUUCCGCAAUGGACGAAAGUCUGACGGAGCAACGCCGCGUGAGUGAUGAAGGCUUUCGGGUCGUAAAACUCUGUUGUUAGGGAAGAACAAGUACGAGAGUAACUGCUCGUACCUUGACGGUACCUAACCAGAAAGCCAC
rnacentral:rRNA from 1 species